UAUAGUGUUGAAAAAAGAGGUUGUAUAGUUGUGUUUUUAUUGAAUUUUGAUUCAAUUGAAUUGUAUCGAACUUGAAUCUUAAAACAAACUUCCAGAGUUGAUGAUUUUUUUAUCCAUCGCGUCCUUUUUUUGUUUUUUUUAUAAGGCUAAAAUCUAAUUCAAUGAUACACAAUGUAAUACCUUUUCUUCAAUUAAAGAAUUCUUGUAUAUGAUUUCAAG
rnacentral:lncRNA from 1 species